rnacentral:rRNA from 1 species
GGAGUUUGGGCCGUGUCUCAGUCCCAAUGUGGCCGUUCACCCUCUCAGGCCGGCUACUGAUCGUCGCUUUGGUAGGCCGUUACCCUGCCAACUGGCUAAUCAGACGCGAGUCCAUCCUUUACCACCGGAGUUUUUCACACUGUACCAUGCGGCACUGUGCGCUUAUGCGGUAUUAGCACCUAUUUCUAAGUGUUAUCCCCCGGUAAAGGGCAGGUUACUCACGCGUUACUCACCCGUCCGCCACUAAGCUUCCAAGAUGCAAGCAUCUCUUGGCUCCGUUCGACUUGCAUGUGUUAAGCACGCCGCCAGCGUUCAUC